CCUACGGGAGGCAGCAGUGGGGAAUAUUGGUCAAUGGGCGCAAGCCUGACCCAGCAACGCCGCGUGAAGGAAGAAUGCUUUCGGGUUGUAAACUUCUUUUCUCAGGGACGAAGCAAGUCACGGUACCUGAGGAAUAAGCCACGGCUAACUACGUGCCAGCAGCCGCGGUAAUACGGAGGUGGCAAGCGUUAUCCGGAUUUACUGGGUGUAAAGGGCGUGUAGGCGGGACAGCAAGUCAGAUGUGAAAAACGUGGGCUCAACCUGUGGGCUGCAUUUGAAACGGUUUUUCUUGAGUUCUGGAGAGGUAGAAGGAAUGUGUGGUGUAGCGGUGAAAUGCGUAGAUAUUA
rnacentral:rRNA from 1 species